rnacentral:rRNA from 1 species
UACAGAGGUCUCAAGCGUUGUUCGGAUUCAUUGGGCGUAAAGGGUGCGUAGGUGCGGCGCGUAAGUCGGGUGUGAAAUUUCGAGGCUUAACUCGAAACUGCAUUCGAUACUGCCGUGCUUGAGGACUGGAGAGGAGACUGGAAUUAUCGGUGUAGCGGUGAAAUGCGUAGAUAUCAUGAAGGAAGACCAGUGGCGAAGGCGGGUCUCUGGACAGUUCCUGACGCUGAGGCACGAAGGCCAGGGGAGCAAACGGG